UACGAAGGGGGCUAGCGUUGCUCGGAAUCACUGGGCGUAAAGGGUGCGUAGGCGGGUCUUUAAGUCAGGGGUGAAAUCCUGGAGCUCAACUCCAGAACUGCCUUUGAUACUGAGGAUCUUGAGUUCGGGAGAGGUGAGUGGAACUGCGAGUGUAGAGGUGAAAUUCGUAGAUAUUCGCAAGAACACCAGUGGCGAAGGCGGCGACCUGGGCCAAUAUUGACGCUGAGGUGCGAAAGCGUGGGGAGCAAACAGG
rnacentral:rRNA from 1 species